ACAGUGGACGCGAGCAUCUUUGUGGCCAAGUUAGUAAGGGCACACGGUGGAUGCCUUGGCACCAGGAGCCGAUGAAGGACGUGGGAGGCUGCGAUAUGCCUCGGGGAGCUGUCAACCGAGCUGUGAUCCGAGGAUUUCCGAAUGGGGAAACCCGGCAGGGCUUGAAAUCCUGUCACCCGCGCCUGAACACAUAGGGCGCGUGGAGGGAACGCGGGGAAGUGAAACAUCUCAUUACCCGCAGGAAGAGAAAACAACCGUGAUUCCGUGAGUAGUGGCGAGCGAAAGCGGAUGAGRCUAAACCGAUGGCGUGUGAGAGCCGGCAGGCGUUGCGUGGUCGGGGUUGUGGGAGCGUUCGGGCGGAUCUGCCGAUCUGUCGAGGAGUGAGAAAGCGUCGUGUUAGUCGAAGGUCAUGCGAAUGGACUGCCGUAGAGGGUAAGAGUCCCGUAGGCGAAAGCAURGCGUCUCCUGAGCGUUAUCCCAAGUAGCACGGAGCCCGUGAAAUUCCGUGUGAAUCUGGCGGGACCACCCGCUAAGCCUAAAUACUCCCUGGUGACCGAUAGCGGACGAGUACCGUGAGGGAAAGGUGAAAAGUACCCCGGGAGGGGAGUGAAAUAGUACCUGAAACCGUGUGCUUACAAUCCGUGGGAGCGGGGGCUUGCCCCUGUGACCGCGUGCCUUUUGAAGAAUGAGCCUGCGAGUUUGCGAUGUGUGGCGAGGUUAACCUUUGUGGGGGAGCCGUAGCGAAAGCGAGUCCGAACAGGGCGUUUGAGUCGCAUGUCCAAGACCCGAAGCCGAGUGAUCUAUCCAUGGCCAGGUUGAAGCGCGGGUAAGACCGUGUGGAGGACCGAACCCACCAGGGUUGAAAACCUGGGGGAUGAGCUGUGGAUAGGGGUGAAAGGCCAAUCAAACUCGGUGAUAGCUGGUUCUCCCCGAAAUGCAUUUAGGUGCAGCGUCACGUGUUUCUUGCCGGAGGUAGAGCACUGGAUGGCCUAGGGGGCCUACAAGCUUACUGAAGUCAGCCAAACUCCGAAUGCCGGUAAGUGAAGCGUGGCAGUGAGACUGCGGGGGAUAAGCUUCGUAGUCGAGAGGGAAACAGCCCAGAUCGCCAGCUAAGGCCCCUAAGCGUGCGCUAAGUGGGAAAGGAUGUGGAGUCGCGGAGACAACCAGGAGGUUGGCUUAGAAGCAGCCACCCUUGAAAGAGUGCGUAAUAGCUCACUGGUCAAGUGGUUCUGCGCCGACAAUGUAGCGGGGCUCAAGCGCACCGCCGAAGCUGCGRCAUACACACGUGUGUGUAUGGGUAGGGGAGCGUCGUGUGGCGUGUGAAGCGGCGGGGUGACCCAGCCGUGGAUGCUACACGAGUGAGAAUGCAGGCAUGAGUAGCGAAUGACGGGUGAGAAUCCCGUCCGCCGGAUGACUA
rnacentral:rRNA from 1 species